AUGCAACAGGGGGACACCUGAGGACACAGAAUAAAGAAGGACCAUGUGAAACUCAUGAAGAGGAUGGUCAGAGUUGUCCAUAGCUUUCUUGACUCUUAUGAAGAAUCCUUCUUUGCAUCAUCUCCAGAGGUUCCACAGUCGUCUCCAGAACAGAACCAGAACAAAUCCAGCCUUCUUUAUCAGAUUGUUGAGCCUUUUGAGGUUCCUGGCUCUGAUGCUGCUGCACCAACAGAUGAUAGCAGAAGAGAUGACACUCUCAGCAUCAGACUUAAAGAUCUGCAGCAACUUGCUGCAAGUCUUGAAGGAUCGUAGCUUCCUCCAGAAGCGCAGUCUGCUCUGUCUCUUUUUAUAGACGGCUUCACUGUUGCGUCUCCAGUCCAGUCUGUGUUCCAGAUGAACACCGAGUCAAGAUUAGAUGAUUGUUCCCACACCAGGCCACAAAGUGAUCCACCAGAUCUCUGUACUCAGCCUCUUGUCUUUCUCUGAUACACACAACAACUGCAGAGUCGUCUGAGUAUUUCUGUAGAUGACAGAAGUCGGACUUGUGCGGGAAGUCUGAACAGUAGAGAGUGAAAAUGAAUGGUGAGAGUACAGUGCCCUGUGGUGUUCCCAUGUUGUUGACCACCUGGUUAGACACACAGUCCUUCAGUCUCACAAACUGUAUUCUGUUUGUCAGGUAGUCACAGAUGCAGGUGAUUGUUGAGGCCUCCACCUGUGUCUUCUGGAGUUUCUAACAGAGCAGAUCAGGCUGAAUUGUGUUCAAUGCACCUGAGAACCAAAGACCCUGAUCCUCACUGUGCUGCCUGCUUUGUCCAGAUGACAGUGGGUUUGUUGAAGCAGGUGUCUGAUCAACUCCAACUCCAUGGCGAUAAGCAAACUGCAGGGGGUCCUGAUAUGUGAUCGUCUGCUUACUCAAGUGGGCCACCAGGAGUCUCUCCAGGACCUUCAUGAUGUGCGAUGUCAGGGCAACGGGUCUACAGUCGUUAUGACUGAUGGGUGACUUUUCUUCGGUACCGGAACCAGGCAGGAUGUCUUCCACAGCAACGGAACCUCCUCUUGGGUCAGGCAAAGGUUGAAGAGAUGCUGCAGAAUCCCACAGAGGGACUCUGGGACCGACACCAUCUGGACCUGCAUCCUCGUUCCUGUUCAGUCUCUCCGGCUGCUUCUUCACCUGACUUCUAGAUACAGAAAAGUUGGAGGUGGAGGCAAAAGGGAGCAGCAGCGUCUCCUAAUGUGGUUGAAGACAAACUUGUGGAAGCAGAAGAGUCCAUGACUGAGGUGGAAGAUGGAACAUCUGAGGCUUGACAGGAAAGCUGUGGGUCAGAGGAGGAUGAGAUAUCUGGCUGCAGACAGGAGAGGACGAUGAUGAUGAGCUUGUUCCUGGACUGAACCUGUUGAAGAACGUGUUCAGCUCAUUUGCUGUGUCCAGAAACUAAUACUGUUAAAAAAAAAAAGUCAUGGUAGCAUGUUUUUAUGUAAUAAUGUGUAUGUAAUGUUUGGAAUGAAGAAGAUAUGCUGCAUAAUCUGAUGUAAUUACAAAAGAGUAUUGUGUCUCAGUGCAAAAACACACAUUUUGUUGGUUUCUGAAGAGUAAAAAUUGAACAAAUGUGUUAAUCACUUAAAGAUUAAGUUUAUAUUUCACAGUCAUCACAAUGCUAAAGAAAAGUCUCACAACAGUGUGAAAAUCAUGUUGUGGGAGGAAGAUAUUAAAGAAUGUAAUAUAUUUUGCAGUGUCAUAGGUUAUUUCUAUGUAUUAUGAUGUAAUAUAAUACAUGUAUUUUUGGACUUAUUGUAUUCUGUUUUAUUUUUGUGUGUAACUUUCACUUGACUUGUGAAAGCAUGGAAAGUAAUUAAGCUGAUCGUAGAGUAAAAUAACAUUUAAGUUGUAAGCAAAUUCAAUAAAAGCUUUUUUUUGCCGUCA